AUACAUGCAGUCGAGCGAUCGAUGGGAGCUUGCUCCCUGAGAUUAGCGGCGGACGGGUGAGUAACACGUGGGCAACCUGCCUAUAAGACUGGGAUAACUUCGGGAAACCGGAGCUAAUACCGGAUACGUUCUUUUCUCGCAUGAGAGAAGAUGGAAAGACGGUUUACGCUGUCACUUAUAGAUGGGCCCGCGGCGCAUUAGCUAGUUGGUGAGGUAAUGGCUCACCAAGGCGACGAUGCGUAGCCGACCUGAGAGGGUGAUCGGCCACACUGGGACUGAGACACGGCCCAGACUCCUACGGGAGGCAGCAGUAGGGAAUCUUCCGCAAUGGACGAAAGUCUGACGGAGCAACGCCGCGUGAACGAAGAAGGCCUUCGGGUCGUAAAGUUCUGUUGUUAGGGAAGAACAAGUACCAGAGUAACUGCUGGUACCUUGACGGUACCUAACCAGAAAGCCACGGCUAACUACGUGCCAGCAGCCGCGGUAAUACGUAGGUGGCAAGCGUUGUCCGGAAUUAUUGGGCGUAAAGCGCGCGCAGGUG
rnacentral:rRNA from 1 species